rnacentral:lncRNA from 1 species
UCCCACAGGGCCUCCAUCCUUAAUACCUGCUGAGACUGUCAUCCAGCACUGGCCCUGACUGAUACUUUUCUGGAUAGACGGAUGGAGACAUGAGGAAACAAGUUUGAUUUGAACAAAGGGACCACAGGCUGCCUGGAGCCUCCUCCUACACUGUGCAGUGUCCUUUGAGAACGAAUUGAUGGUAUUAAGGUUUAUGUACUUGAGUGCAGAUGCUCAGAGGCCAGGCCUGUUGGCAGUUGGGAAAUACUGAACCCACAAGGUGAAAGAGAUAACCAGCUCCCCAAAAGUUGUCAUCUGACCCCCACAGGAGUGCUACAGCACGUGUAUACACCCAGAGAACAAGCCUAUUGGAGAGUCCACACAGCUGUCCAUCUGGGAAUCCUGACUCAGAACUGACUUCCUCAGUGAAGGACUAGGGCAACAGGUCUCUUCAGGGAAGGAAGGCGGACACAGAAAGGGCUGAACCAGCAAGGACAGAGUCAAGCAAAUGACAGCUACUCAGAAACACAACCUCUUCACUCCAGAACCCCACUACAUCCCUGGCUAUGCUGGUUUCUAUCCUCAACUGCGCUACCAGGUGGGAAACACCUAUGGCCGCACUACUGCACAGUUGCUCACAGAUCCCAGUGUACAGAAGAGCCCCUGCUCUGUUCUGUCACCUAUGUCCAAGCCCAAGUUCAUUGAG